rnacentral:rRNA from 1 species
UACGUAGGUGGCAAGCGUUGUUCGGAAUUAUUGGGCGUAAAGGGCGCGUAGGCGGUUUGUUAAGUCGGCUGUGAAAGCCCGGGGCUCAACCCCGGAGGGUCAGCCGAUACUGGCAGACUAGAGUACGGAAGAGGUAGCUGGAAUUCCCGGUGUAGCGGUGAAAUGCGUAGAUAUCGUAAGGAAGACCAGUGGCGAAGGCGGGUCUCUGGACAGUUCCUGACGCUGAGGCACGAAGGUCAGGGGAGCAAACGGG